AUCCUGCUCUGCCACCAACCAGCAAGAGCCUUCCUGACUGGGCUUCAGUCCCUCACUGUGAGAUGAGCAGAAUUCAUCUCUCAACCUCCAGCCCUGUUGGUCUUCCUUUUCCAACUUCAGCAGCAUUCCUCCUGCCUAAGAGGAUAGGCUGGGCCCCAGGUCAGCCCCAGAAUCAUUCCAUAUCAUACGAGAAGCUCAUUUUACGUUACAUCCUCAUCCCCCACGUGGACCUGAUGAUCUCUCUGGUGAGCUCUGUGAGCAGCAGCACUCUGCUUUCAACACCUGACCCCUCCUGGAGGUCACUAUCUACUUCUCAGGAGGCUUGUCAUUCUGUCCCACCUGAUCUGAGCAGAGCCACUUCCCCUUGGGUGCAGUCAAGAAGUGCAGCCUCACAUCACCUGGGGAUGUGAGGUGCGUGUAGAGGGCCAGAAGAAGCAUGAAGGCGACCUCCCUUUCUCCAAGCAAGGCUGAACCACCUCUCGUUCCCAUGGCUCAGGACCCAAGGAAACACUGCUCUGUGAUCCAGGAGACCUGGUUAUGCUACCAAGAUCAGACACCUCUGGGGGAGGCUCACCGUGGGGGGCAGACAGUGCAUCUCCCACACCACCACUAACUCAUCCUCAGAACUCAGUAAGGCAGAGAGUGCCUUCUUUAUUUAUAGGAGAGAACACUGAAGGUCCAAGAAGCUAGGGAACCACUAUUAAGCCAUGUAUAAAUGGCAGAGCAAGAUUCACAUGCUGACCUACUAGGUACUGAAGCCCACGUUCAUGACCAAUAAACUCAGCUACCUGAUUUUAGACAA